rnacentral:rRNA from 1 species
GAUGAACGCUGGCGGCGUGCCUAAUACAUGCAAGUCGAGCGAACAGACGAGGCGCUUGCUCCUCUGACGUUAGCGGCGGACGGGUGAGUAACACGUGGAUAACCUACCUAUAAGACUGGGAUAACUUCGGGAAACCGGAGCUCAUACCGGAUAAUAUAUUGAACCGCAUGGUUCAAUAGUGAAAGACGGUUUUGCUGUCACUUAUAGAUGGAUCCGCGCCGCAUUAGCUAGUUGGUAAGGUGACGGCUUACCAAGGCAACGAUGCGUAGCCGACCUGAGAGGGUGAUCGGCCACACUGGAACUGAGACACGGUCCAGACUCCUACGGGAGGCAGCAGUAGGGAAUCUUCCGCAAUGGGCGAAAGCCUGACGGAGCAACGCCGCGUGAGUGAUGAAGGUCUUCGGAUCGUAAAACUCUGUUAUUAGGGAAGAACAAAUGUGUAAGUAACUAUGCACGUCUUGACGGUACCUAAUCAGAAAGCCACGGCUAACUACGUG